rnacentral:lncRNA from 1 species
GAAAGAUUAAAACAGUCUGUCAGAAUUUCCAAUUUCCGAACAGGUGACUGCACCCUAAUAAAAAUCUUAGUGCGGCAGAAAUCUCCUUUGGAAAAGGCGAUAAUUAUUAGUUGAUUUAGCAGAGAAUGAAAUGAAUGUGCUUCUACUGGCAAAUGGUAAUGAACAUGUUUUUGCGGUCAUCCAAGCAAGUGCCUUAACUAGCCACACUUUUAUGGCUUAUCCCAGCAGCUUUCAGCAAAAUUAAUAACAGAAAGCUUUUACAACUUUCAAAGAAUAGGAAAAUAUGAUGAACUGAGAGACCGGAAUCUGAUAAAGCAAUCACGGGAACCAGAAACUGAAAAGAAAUGGCAGCAUCUUCCUAUCACUAAAUUAGGAGUCAUAACAAGAAAGCUAGUGGGUAAGGCAUAUAUUAACAAACGUAAAAGAAAGAAGUACCUGGAUGGUGUUCAUCUGUUCUUCAACAGGUGCAGCAUACAUUAACAAACGUAAAAGAAAGAAGUACCUGGAUGGUGUUCAUCUGUUCUUCAACAGGUGCAAGUGCUAGUGCAUCCUCUGAAGUUGGAGCACCUUUAACACCAGCACCCAAAUUAUGGUCAGAUUGGUUAGCAUCAUGCUGAGGGCCCUCAAUAGCCAGAGGACUUAAAAGAUCACCCAGGAGAUCAGGCGAAG